UGCGAUCUGGUGUAAGGGUAACACGCCACUCUCAUAAGGUGGAGGAUUCCGGUUCGAAUCUGGAGGUCGCAA
rnacentral:tRNA from 2 species